rnacentral:rRNA from 1 species
CCUACGGGAGGCAGCAGUGGGGGAUAUUGCACAAUGGGGGAACCCUGAUUCAGCGACGCCGCGGGGGUGAAGAAGCGCCUCGGCGCGUAAAGCCCUUUCAGCAGGGAAGAAAAUGACGGUACCUGAAGAAGAAGCCCCGGCUAACUACGUGUCAGCAGCCGCGGGAAUACGUAGGGGGCAAGCGUUAUCCGGAUUUACUGGAUGUAAAGGGGGCGCAGACGGCGGUGCAAGCCAGGAGUGAAAGCCCGGGGCCCAACCCCGGGACUGAUCUUGGAACUGCGUGGCUGGAGUGCAGGAGGGGCAGGUGGAAUUCCUGGUGUAGCGGUGAAAUGCGUAGAUAGCAGGAGGAACACCGGUGGCGAAGGCGGCCUGCUGGACUGCAACUGACGUUGAGGCCCGAAAGCGUGGGGAGCAAACAGGAUUAGAUACCCGGGUAGUC